rnacentral:rRNA from 1 species
AGUAACGGUUAGAAAUGACUGCUAAUACCGCAUAAGCGCACAGUACCACAUGGUACGGUGUGAAAAACUCCGGUGGUAUGAGAUGGACCCGCGUCUGAUUAGCUAGUUGGUGAGGUAACGGCCCACCAAGGCGACGAUCAGUAGCCGACCUGAGAGGGUGACCGGCCACAUUGGGACUGAGACACGGCCCAGACUCCUACGGGAGGCAGCAUG